UCCUUCUCUCUCUGCUCCAUUUUCUGUUUUCUGUUUUUCUUUUUAUUUGUUUCUGUUCUGUGUUUUGAAAUAGUAGAAAUGCUAUUCCAUUUAGGAAAAACCUGAAAAUAUUCAGAGGCACAUUUGAAAAUAUUCUCAACAGCCUAAAAAUACCUUCAAGAUUAUUUGGGCAUUUUAAAAUAUUUAUAGGAUUUAAAUUGCUCAAAUGCAAAUACUUAUGGCUUGGUGCAAAAAUCCAGAAUAGCCUCCAAAAAUAUGAAACCAAUUUUGGCAGAGGGUUUAGCCAGGACCAAAGAUGGUGAACAUUUAUGAAGGACAUUUUGGGUUCAUUGAAAUUCCAAUUGUUGGAACCUAGUAUUUCCAAGGGGGUGUUGGGGUUUGUUAGUCCCCAUUUCAAGUUUAAGGAAAAAAUUAGACAUGAUGCACACAUGAAGGGCUAGCCUAGUGCAAACCAGAUCUAGGGAUGUUACAACUCACCCCCACUAAACAAGGAUCUCGUCCCGAGAUUCAAGACGUGAGGUGAGAGGAAAGGGGUCACAAAACUAUCACAAUCUUCAUGGUCCAAAUGUCGUUCUCGAGGAUGUUGAUUCAUUGCAUCACCUUGAUCUCAACGUCUUUCUUUGAGAACUAUAUCCAACAUGACAACGAGUAGAAAGGGAGAAUUUAGAAGAAUCGAUCUUCCUGAGGUUCGAGCAACUUAGGAUCAUCUUAAUGAUCACAAGAUCAACUCACGGAUCGGAACAUUGAAACAUCUCUGGAGCUGAGAGGCAAAACAUGCAUCAGGAGGGAUGGAAGAAACAAUUUGACGAGGGUUUCCAAAUAGCAAGGAAAAAUUGUCAUGAUUCCAUAACGAGGCACCUUAGGAAGGGUGACUCGUAGAAUUAUUCCCUUAAGUGGCAAGAAGAAUUACUUUUGAUACAAAGAUCGUUGAAACCCUUUAUACCAGCCUAAGGCAAUCACAAAUGAUCGUUUGAAAGAAGUCAAAAGAAUGGCACACUCAAUUUGGAAAGGAAACUAUGGUUAUAGAACAACUCGGCAAACGGAAGGCACAUUCCAGUUGAUACCAAGGAUAUAACCUAGUGACUGAGCGUGCUUUCAAGAACUUGAGCAUUUCCAUAUUCAUCAAGGUUUUACCAACAUCCGUGCCGAGGAUCCUAGCAACACAUCAUACUACCAUGAUGAAUGGUGAUGGAGGAUGCAGGUGCAAAGGAGGACAACACUUUCUCAGAUUUUUCCUUAGCAAUGCCAAAGAAGCAAAUCUGGAUGAUCGACCGAGAGACAUUUAGCACUAUACUUCUUAUGUUCUCCUCGAUGUUCUAGCUACCACGGUUAUGCUAAACAAAACAUCAACAUGGCCAUCAAGUAAAGGUCGGACUUCAGAAGCACAAAAAUCCAUAAGGAACAACUUGUGGAAUAAGUCAUAUGAAAUCCUCAUGGGAAGUGACCAAAGGGCUUAAUCAAGAUACUACAAUAAUAGUGCUUCCAGCUAGGUGCGUCCACUUCACUGGAACCUAUAUCAUAGUUCUUGGAAGAAGUUCCAACCAUCAUACCUGCCUGAGAUUCAAAUCUGGUUGGUAACAGGAUAAUUCAGACAACGUGUCUGGAAAAGAAAGUUUGCAACACAAACCGAUGAGAUGAUGUUGCGAGAUUCUCGGGAGAUGAACUACGAUAGCAAACUCCAAAACAUGAGCAGGUUUUGCUACAACAUGUGAACACGCUGUCCCAGACAAGCAUGACCACACGGUAGUCUUAUCAUAAAACACUACCGAGUUCAGGUUGGGAACCAUCAUUGAGGGUAUCGAAGUCCUUGUAUAAGCCCCGGGUCUUAAGAAGGAACUUCUUUUCCUUGAAAAAAUCAAUCGGUGGCUUGGUGUGCUAGGGACACAUACAGAAUGAAGGUUGCAAGUCUCCAAACCACAGAAUACUUCGCACAUAUGCAUGACUGAUUUGGGAUGAUUCCAGAGGAGACAAAACAAACUUUCUCAAUUUCACGGUGGCAACUUACAUCAAAUACACGUGAAUUAGAGGAAGUCACUUCUCUCAUCCAAACAUAUACCUCAUGGACGGGGCAUGAAGCAAAUGCUUACACAAGUUUCCAACACUAGGUUGAUGUUCUACAUGAAUCAUGGGGGAGACAAAAUGCUGCUGAUGGGCUCAACAGCAACUCAUCGGAAUUUCCAUAUCACUGGACUUCCACCAUCAUGUGAACACGAUGAUAGCAUUGGUCAGACCAAAAGAUGUAAUAGUGUAUGCUCGAGGGAUCAACCACGAGUAAGACAACAUUACGAACAUCGUUGGUUCUGAUUUGACUUGACGAUAGCCCAUACUCAAAUCAAGGUUUUGACAAGGCAAUAGAUCCAACAACUGAUCACGAGGACCAAUCGAUGGAGAUAUCAUCUUUCUUCAACACACACUCACACACAAAAGAUAUCCCUUAACAUGAACUAAGUCAGACAAGCUUCUAUCUUCCAACUCUCCAAGUUGUUGUCUAGCCCAACCAACUAGCUCAGGGUAUCCGACAUAGAUUCAUGGAGAACGGAUGGUUUAAAAGAAUACCAACAUGAUCACGAACUCAACAUAGCGGUCAGGUGACGACCUGGUGAUACUUCCGAGAAGAUAUUCAGAAAAUCACGUACCACCGACAUGUUAUUACGAUCGAGAACAAUCUUGCUUUUCAGGGCAAGACGAUGUGAUCAAGAGAGUGAUGGAUUGACACAAUCCUAUCUCAUUAAUCAAGGAGUGCAGCAGAGAAAAUGGACUAAGUCGCACGAUAACUCUUAGGAUGAUGAUUCAAUAACCGACAUACUAAGGAUGAGGGUAUUGCCCAUUAACUACCAAGCAACGGAGUUGCUAGGAGUAUUGAUUUCACACAUCACAAUUCACUUGUCGGUAUUCCGGUUAUAAUAAUACGGAGACCAAGGAAUGAACGAUGAUGGCGAGGAGUAUCACUAAAUCAAGAAUUCAUAAGAGGUGGUGCAAUUCUCAUGACAUUCCUGACAUAAGACGGACUUCAAGGUAGAAUAGCCUUGAUUGUGCUAUUAUAACCGAAAGGUCAAACAUGAAUCAUAUAGUAGAUAUGAUCAACAUAGUGAUGUUCACCAUUGAAACUUCUUCAUCGCGUGACCUUUUGGUUCAACGAGGAACUACUGCCAUAAGCGGUUCAUGGUAUUUGGAAGAAGGAUAUACCACGGACCUCGAGGACUAUCACAAAGGUUACUAAUAUCCUAAAGGAACUAGCAAACACUAUCCACAUGAAGUAAGUAGGGUGAAUCUCGGGUUCAAAACCCAGGAGUAGAAAACCUACUAACUAAAUGGCAUCACGGGAUGCUUUCGAGAAUAAUGGCCAGAAUCAUCACACUGGGAACACAAAACAUGGCUAGAUUACCUGGUGAUCCUCUAAGACACCUAGGGUCAUAAUAAUAGCUCCAACAUAUAUGUCGAGGCAAUGGAGUACCUCAACUCAGCGAUUAGUGUGGUUAAUCUGGCCCAAAGGUACAUCGGAACGAAAAGAAGGGAUUUGCAAAUGCAUCAGACUAUUUAGAAACCUGGGAUGACUCGGACAGCAUAACGGCUGUAAAUGCUCAAAAAGAUUUGAGACAUCCUGCAAAAUGAUAGCAUAACCACUUAACAUCACAAUAUCACGGUUCUGAGAUCAACUGUCGACACACAGAAGUAGUAGGAACUGAACUGGGGCUUGAAUCCACCGAUCUAAUAAGUCUACGGAUUAGUAACACGUGAUCCUGAUAGAAGAUGAGAAAGCCUAGUUCUUAAUCCCCGUAGAAGAGAAGAGGGUGACUCAGAUCAGAGGGGCAUAAGGUAAAGGAGUAAAAAGAGCCUUACGUUCCCAUCCACAAUCAAUUCCCUUAUAUAACUAAAGCAUUUCUAGACUCAACUUCGACCAGUUUGGCUUGGUAAUCCUACAGGCAGUCAGGCUCUGAUACCAAAGCUGUCAGGACCCCGAUUCUAAGUCACACCGAUCUAGCCUGUAACACCUCAUAUCACUUUGCGGCCUCACGCACGGUAUUCCCACGGGUGUCGCCUUACCAUGGCCCGAGACCAUUUGUGCCUUUUGGCUCAUGUAUAUGAUAGUGUCGCUAGCAUCCAUAUGACAGAGAACCCGGGCCGACAUGGCUAGUCGUGAACCCAAAGUGGCACUAACUUACGGGGACAGGCAUACAUGAAUCAACAUCGAGAAUGUCGGUCAGCAGCGUGUGAAUCCAGGCUGUAGCACUGGGCUAACAGGACUCCUGGAACCCGGGCUGUAGCAGGCUAGGCAGGACUCCAGAUGUCAUCACGUGACAUUUCCCCGAAGGGACAGACACAUGAACGAAGUAAAUCGCAUGCCGGCCAGUCAAGUGUUCCGGAGCAGUAGUGCUGGGCUAGCAGGACUCCGGUGAACCGGGUUGUAGCGGACUACUAUGGCUCAUGGAAGCACAAGACUACAUUUCCCCAUAAGAGAGGCUACCAAGGAUAAACAACUAGAUUGUCGGAUCCCACACAUACCAAGCAUUUCAAUCAUAGACACGAUAUACUCGAUAUGUGCAAAUACAACAUGGCAUCACAACAAGACUCUAUGACUCAGAGUAUUUAUUCAAUAGGCUCCGAGGAGAGAGAUAUUACAAACAUGGGUCUCAUGACCCAACAUUGAGAGUAUACAAGUCAAAGUACAUGCGGAAGCUUAACAUGUCUGAGUACACACAUCUACAAAUGAAAAAGGCUGAGAUGCCUGACUAUCUAUAAGACCCUCCCAAGGGUACAAGAUCGUAGCUGAGGUAACAAGCUAAACGUCGAAGUCCAUGCGGAACUACUAGCAAGACUGACGUGUCUCUGUAAAAACACAAAAUAGGCAAACGUGAGUACAAAUGUACCCAGCAAGACUUACAUCAGAACUAACUACAUAUGCAUCGGUAUCAACAAAGGGGGUAGUGGAGUUUAACUACAGCAAGCCAGCUUUGACUCAGUGGCUAACCUGAACUACGACUGCAAGCAACUCUUUUGAGGUGGCGCACACAAGUCCACAUAUUCACCAUAUCAAUACACCACUAUGGAUCCGCUCCCGUCUACCUAUGAGAACGCCAUCCAUAGCACUCACGCUUAUCUUGCGCAUUUUAGAGUAUCCACUUUCACUUGUCUAUGAACUGUACCGGCGACCCAAAAGUCCUUUACCGCAGACACGUCUAUUCGAAUAGAUGAUCUUAACCCUGCAGGGGUGUACUUCUUCACACACGCUCUCGCCACUUACCACCAUGUACACGACGUGUAUCUCGGCAUCCUUCAAGCGGAAGCCUGGCGAGGAAGUCAGCCACGACCUGACUAACCACACAAGUCUCUAGUCCAGGUUUAUCGCCUAUUCGGGCUCCAUCCGCAAGAAGAUCCGGCCGGGGUGUCGCUCACGGCCCCAAACGAUGUGUACAGGGUUCCCAAGCCCACCUCUAUGGAUGGUUUUACGCUUGGUACACCGUGCCACGGUGCCUAGUCUGUCCCAAGCCCACUGUACCGGGUGCCACUUGGUAGACUACUAACACAACCUACAAACACCAGAAACUAGUUGCAACUCCUGGACGGAGAUCGAGGCGGUUAAUAAGCCGAGAGGGGUCGAGUUACCGGAACCCAAUGUGUGGUAGUAGCUGUUCAUGGAUCACAAACACAGAACUCAGUUACUGAGGAUGGUUUCAAUGAGACAACCCAGCAUGUACUCCUGCAUGGCCUCUCACCGCUACCUUUACCAAAUCGUGUUCACACACUUAGCUCACAACAGUAGGACAUGUUCACACACCUCUAAUUCAUCCCCGAUGAAUCAUACCUGACUCAACUCUAAGCAGUAGCAGGCAUGACAAACAAUCAUGAAUGAGUAGGCACAUCAGGGCUCAAGCAACUCCUACUCAUGCUAGUGGGUUUCAUCUAUUUAUUGUGGCAAUGACAGGAUGCAGAGGAAAGGGGUUCAACUACCGCAGCAUGUAACAGUUGAAACGUUGUUGUCCUAAUGCAGUAAAAGAGAGCAGGAGCGAGAGAGUGGGAUUGUAUCGAAAUGAACAAGGGGGUUUUGCUUGCCUGGCACUUGUGAAGAUAGCAUUGAGUCUUCAUCAGUGUCAAUGAUCACAGCGUCGGAACAACGUCUACCGAGGGGAACAACACCGGCAAACAGAGAAUAAACACAAUCAAUGCAAUGCACAAUAUGAUGCAUGAACAUGGCAUGUAUAUGUAAUGUUGUUUGUGCUAAAGCCAACAGCAACAAGUUCAAUGGAGCUCAUUUGAAUCAAGGAUUCAAAUGCAACUCCACACUUAAGCAUUUUAAAUGCCCUUUAUGUGUUUUCAUCUAUACAACACGUUUAGGUUGGUUUUUCAUGCAUGAAACUAGUACAGAUGGAUAGAUUGAAUUUUUCUGAUAAUUUUUCAUAUAUAAAUUAUUUCAUUUGGAGUUACAGAUUAUUUCUAUGAUUUUUAGAAGUUUUGGCUAUUUUCUGGAAUUUUCUGAAUUAUUUUAAAUCCAGAAAAUGUAUUACUACGUCAGCAUUAGGUCAUGCUCACCUCAGCAGGUCAACAGGCGCCGUCCAGGUCAAACCUGACCAGUGGGGCCUACUGGUCAGUGAUGCAGUGUCAGCUACAGAGGCUGACAUGUGGGACCCGGUCAAAGCUGACGUGGCCAACUCAAAGUUGACAGGCGGGGCCCACUGUGAUUAAUGCUAAUCUAACAGAGGAAUUAAAUUAAUUAUUUUAGGCACUGGGGCCCACAUGGCAGUUGCUCUAGGGGUGGUUAGCUGGGUCAUUAGUGGCUAAUGAUGUCCACGUCGACAGUCGCCGGAGUUUCGCCGGCGACGACCAAAACUGCGGCGGCAACUCGCCGGACUUGAGCUACAGACAGCGGUUGGACGCGUGGAAACAACCAGGAGGUAGCCCACGCUCUUCCGCAUCCAGAGGAGCAGGUGAGACGCGGCAGAGACGGUGGAGCUCGCCGGAGCGGAGCUCGCGGCGGCGGCCGGAGCUCGGGUGGUUGCGGGUUUGGCGCUACGGCUUGCGUUCGAGGAAAAUAGCAGGCUAGAGAGGCACUAGGCGUUGCUACGAGCGCAACGGGCACACGCACGGGACCAAUUGGUCACCAGAGCCACGUCGGCGACGAGGCCAGGCGGCAGCGCGAUUCGGUCGGCAAGGGGGCGACGGCUACGGGGCAUAAUCGAGCUCGGGAAGAGGGGGGUUCGGGUCAGUGGCUCACGGCGAGUCAGACGAGCAGGUCGGCGAGCUCGGAGAUGGUCCAGAGCGGGCGGUGCAGCGAAGGCGAUCUCCAGCGGCCGGAGGUUGAAGAAGAGCUCGGGUCGUCACUUGGGACGUUCGGCGUCGUGUGCAUCGACGGAGAUGGCGAUGGCGAUGAGGCGGAGCUUGGGGCGCGUCGGAGAGGCAAGGGGGUGGCGGUGGGCGCGGUGGCAGUGAGCGGCGGCGACGGUUGCGUUCGGUGGGUGAGAGAGGGGGGGCAGAGGGGAGAGGGCCACAGGAAGAGUGAGAGGGGUCCGAGGGAUCCAGGCGUCGCGCUGGCGUCGUCUAGGCGCGUCGAGGGGGAGCCAGGCAGGCUGGGAGGGAGGAGGUGGCCGGGGCGCGUGCGUGCGCGCGUCGGGCACGCGCCGUCCUCCUGGCAGGGGGAGGAAGACGACAGGGGAGGAGGAGGUGGGCUAGGCCAGCGGGCUAGGCCGGCUACAGGUAGGUCGGCCAGGUAGUCCUUCUCUCUCUCUGCUCUAUUUCUGUUUUCUGUUUUUCCUUUUAUUUGUUUCUGUUCUGUGUUUUGAAAUAGUAGAAAUGCUAUUCCAUUUAGGAAAAACCUGAAAAUAUUCAGAGGCACAUUUGAAAAUAUUCUCAACAGCCUAAAAAUACCUUCAAGAAUAUUUGGGCAUUUUAAAAUAUUUAUAGGAUUUAAAUUGCCCAAAUGCAAAUACUUAUGGCUUGGUGCAAAAAUCCAGAAUAGCCUCCAAAGAUAUGAAACCAAUUUUGGCAGAUGG
rnacentral:lncRNA from 1 species